UACACACAACCCCCUUCUACCCAUCGUUUUACUUCAUUUGUAUAAAAGGAGUUUUUAAAUAUAACAUAAAUUUAAACUUAAAACUCCUUUUAUAAAAAUGAAGUAAAACUAUAGGUAGAAGGGGGUUAUAUUUU